AUGUGCAUUUUGUAGGAAGAAAACUGUGAAUGGAAAAAGGAGAAGGGGAGAGAAACGGGGGAAAUCUGGAUAAUACAUUAAAGUAACCAUAAUUUUGGAGAUGCAUUCAUCUUAUUGAAAAUAUAUUUCCUCAUGGUUGUGAUUCCUCUUCACUCUUUUGAAUUUGGAAGGAUGGCAUACACAUCUGAAAAAUACCACUACUUCCUUCAUUGGACUGCAAGGUAUUUCUGUUUGGAAAAGUAAUGGAGUCCAGUCAACUUCAUUGAUCGCCAAGGACUGUCAAAAUUAUAAAACUUGCUGUGGAGCUCUGACAUGCCAGAAGCCGCUAGAAAAAGAAGUUUGACAUUCAGAAACUUAUCAAGAGGUUCUACUCUUUGGAUAGAGACCAAAAUCAUACUUUGAAAAAGCCUGACAGGUUUCUUCGGAAAAGUGGCCAUCCAUGGAAUGAAUGAAAUGUUCUCUUUCUAUUCCAAUCCAACUUAGAAAUAAUGUUUCAUUCAAGAUAAGGCUCGUGGCUUAGGAGAUUGUGACCUGGCUUGCAUCAUUCUAAGACUUCUAUCGUCUGUUUUCAAAACCCAAGGAGGACCUCCUUUUCUGUGUGAUAGUUCCUCAUGCUUUGCCAGCCACUGGGUCUUUAAGGAAGCUUGCCAAGAGUUCCCGGCUGGGAAGGACAGUUCGAGUUCAUCAUAGACAAUGAGCUGGCACCACAGUUUAAGUGACUCACCAACCUGGUUGCCCACUUCAAAAUGUCAAGAACCACACUAUCUAAUUGAAAGAACUGUGUUUUAGCAAAGUGUAAUUGGAUCGCCUGGCAAGAUCAUCUCAAACUAUGUCUCUGACCUUGCCUUUCAGUGGCUAUUUUGAGCACAAGAGGAGAAAGGAAAUGAUUCCUGAAUUAUAUCUUGUUUUUAAAAAUUAAGAUUAAUUAAUACUUGGUUUUAUGUUCAUUCCAUUGUAGGAACUUAGUGAUUAUUACAAAACAGUCAAAAUAGGUCAUAGCAAAAUGAACGUUUAAGAUUAGGUUAAAACAUUCCUCUGAAAUUUUAGUAUUCACUUUUGAAGUGUCAAUUACUAUAUUUCUGUAAUUUCUCAUUUUUUUCUUGGCUUAGAGUCAAGAUGAAAAAUGAUAUUUGAAUCAAAGACAUUGUUUUGUUAUAUAGCCACUCCUUUCUAAAAUGCAAAUCCACCCUCCCCUCACCAAUGCUUUAUUCUUUGUGCGCGCACACACACACACACACACACACACACACACACACACACACAGACAUACACAGAACCAGCACCCAAAUGGUAGAGGAGGUCCUUCCAAGACUUCUAGGACCUGGAUCAUGUAAGCAGUAGAUGAGAAAAUGAAGUAAGAGAUAUAGAGUAAUAACAAUAAAAGUCAAUGAUUUCAUUUUACAAAAAAGUCAUUGUGUAGUACUCAGAUAUUUUUAAGAGCAAGUAUUAUUAUGACUAAAGUAUAUUAUACUUCUAAAUUAUUAUGAUUCUCAUCUAAUUUCAAGCCACACAUAGGCGCCAUUUGAAAGCAUUUUGUGUUACAACCUAUCAACAAAAAUCAACUAAUAGUUUUAUAACGUGCAUAGGUUUACCCCAUGGGGAAUUAAAAUUUUUAUCUGCAAGUAUUUCUGUUGUUGUGAGACUUUAGGACAAGACAACAUUUGGUGUUAACAUAGAAGAAUAUUCUAUGGCUUUUUUAGCUUUAAAGUUCAUUACUCUAAAAUAAAGUACACGUGGUAUUUUUUUCUUCCUAGUGUUCUCUUAUUAUAUGUAGAGUAUUUUCGGUUGUUGUUUUUAACGUAUACAUUAUUUUUAUUAAGUCAUUUCAUAAAAGAUAAGAUAUAUACUAAUAGACCCUUGGUUUUCUCCUAAUUUAAUUAUUUCAAGUCAAGCAAAAUUGGGCAAUUUUCUUUCAGGAAAAAAAAAAUAUUGAGCAUGAUUUUGAGGUAAAACUGAUUAUUUACAGCAUCUUUUCUCUAAUAGGCUAACAUUUAUGAUGGAUCUUAUUUCAAAGUUGAUUAUUCUCAAAGAAAAGUGGAGAUAUUAGAAUUUCCGAGUAAAUUGCAUUGUUUUAAAAAGUACUUUAAUGCAUUGUUCACAUUGUUGCCAGCUAUUGACCAAAAAAGAGAAGAAGAAAAAAGAAAUAAAAAAAGCAGUAUCUGCUCCAAACGUCAAGUUUUGCAGUUUGAAAGACUUGUACAUUAUAAUUGUUUUUUUCUUUUUUGGAAAGCAGUAGUAAUUAAUACCAAAGGCAUAGACAAUUUAGGGCCAUAACCUCCCUUCCCCCCUCUCCACCUUUUUUUUUUUUUUUUUUUUUUUUUAACUUUAACCAUGAUAGGCAUCUCUGCAAGGUAGGUUUUAACAUAUUUUUUUCCUAAUUUUUUUCCCUCCAUUCAGUAAGAAGGAUAAGCUUUUAGAGUACCCAGUCACCGUGGUAACUGCCAAAAAAAUUCUCCUGAAGUUUGAAGAGGUCAGCUAGCAGGGUCAACAACCCUGGCCUCUCUCUGAGCUCGGUCUAGCAUGCCCCAGCCUGCGGUUGGAGUGUCAGGCCAGAUCUGACCCUGGGAGGUGGACCAUUCUGGCUCUGAUAUAAAUUUUUCGAGUCAGUUCAUGGCCUGGACUCUCCAGGUGGCCUCCAAAAUCGAUUUUGACCCCCUGACCCUGUCUCACGGAGGCAUAGCAUCCACCCUAAGUAAGGAUUUAGCCAGGAAUGACAGCUUUCCACUGAGUGUUAUUGGGGACAGUAUAAACAGUUUGGAAAGCAAGUAAGGAGGUGUGAGGGCUAGCAAUCAUUAAAAGCACAUUAAAAAACAAUUUUUAAAAAUCUUUAUUAGAGAAAGUUGUAAAUGCAUAUCUGUUACAGAAUUCCUGUGAUUUGUAGAGUUUUCUAGUCAGUUUUGAAUAUAAAUAGGUCACAUAUCUUUAUCUUUUUGCAUACUUUGUUACAAAUAUGCAAAUAAGAUAGGCAUACUUGCUACAAAAUAGGUACAGCAGGAAUGUAAUAUGUUCAGAAAAGGCAAACUGGUUAUUAAAACACAUUAACAGGUAAGGAGUUUCUAAUAUUUUAAAUACUAAAAUUUUACAUGUGUAUUUUGAAGUUUUUAAAAUGGAAAAAUAAAGAACCUUUAAAAA
rnacentral:lncRNA from 1 species